UGUGAUGAUUUGUAGGUGAAUUGGAAGUGUUAUUGGAUGUUUAGCUUGCUGAAUGGUUUGUUUAUGUUAUAUAUGUGGGUGUUAUCUCAUAGCUUGUGUGUAUAGCUCGUAGAUGGGAGGAUCGCUCUCACUGAGUAUUUGUGAUAAUACUCACGCAUCUCAUUGUGUUUGUGGUGCAGGUAGAGUGUGAUCCGUGGAAUAAUGGCUAGGAGAGGAGGAUGAUCUAGGGCCUCGGUUGUUAUGUUUAUGAAUAUGUUAAUUGUUGUUGGAACCUGGUUUAGAGGCAUGCUAGGUUGCUGGUGUAAAUUGUGGUUAUUGAAUGAUUGAUUAAUUAAUAUUAUGAUUAAUUGAUGUUGGUUUAAUAUGUUUCCGCUGUGCAUGAUGAUUUAUUGUUGGGUUAAUUAGUAGGUAUGAGACUAUUAAUUAAUGAAUUAAAAAAAAAAACGGGUCGGGUCUUUUCAGUCACAUUACGGCAUCUAAUGUUUUACUUGACAUAUAUCACAAUCAUGUGAGUUAGUAACUUUGAAAACCAUGUUUUACAUAAUAAGAAUUUUUGAAUUAACAUAAGAAAAUCCAUUAUAAUUAGCUGUACAUUUAUAUGUAUUACUUAUGUAGAUAUUUUUUAUGAUAGGUUUAUAAUAUAUUUUAAAUUUACACAUAUUGAUAUCUUAUCGAUACAAUUUACCCAUGUCACAUUAAUAACAAACUUAUUUAGAUUAACAUAUUAAAUAAAAAUAUUUAAGUAUUUAGAUUAAAAAUAUUUACAUAAUAUUUCCUAUAAUGCAAAUAUUUUUAAGGUUAACUUAUAGUUGACUAACUUAUUGUAUUUUUUCGUUAUUUGUUAUUUUUUUUAUUUCUUAGACCUAAUUUUAUAAUUUUAGAUAAUAAUAUUAUUUAUAAUUACUAUCCUUUUUGGUUUAGGAUUACUACUAAGUAACUGUUAAAUUUCUGAAUUUUUAUUUUCUUCUUUCUAUUAUUUUUUUUUUAAAACUAAUUUAUAUAAUUUCUUACCACUAAUUAUCUGACAUGUGUCAACAUUUUAUCAAUUCAAUUAAUACGAGUCACGAUCUUAUUAAUGACUAACUUUGAAAACCCAACUUCAUAUAAUAAGAUGUAGAAUGUAUAAAAUACACAUUCUAAUUAGAGAAAAUGUAUUAUAUACAUUAUAGAUCAAAUUUUAUUCAUCCAAAACAACAAUGAAAUAAAAUAAUUUGUCAUUAUAAGUAUCAUCAUGUAUUCUUCAUCAUUUUUCUAUGCAUUUUAGUAGAUUUUAUUUGAAAUUUUUGUUUAAAUCUAAUGUAAAGGUAAUUUAAGAAUAAUUGAUAUUAAUCAUAGAAUGCAGAUAUGGAUAAAUAUUGAAAUAUUUAAUAUUUAUCUUUUAUUUUCAAUUUACCCAUUAGAAGUAGGUAUUUAUUCUAUUAGUUAGAUGUACCAAAAAAAAAAAAAAAAAAAAAAAAAAAAAACAGGAGGUUAGACUAAAAUUAAAACAUUACAACAAAGAGUCAAGUCCAUGCUUAGUGGAGUCACACUGAACAUUUUACAAUCACUGACUCACAAUAAGCUUAUUUGGUUAUGUAAAACAAUUGUAUCCAUUUUUUUUUUUUUUGUACCUACUACUACUACUACUAAUCACUACAAGUUAACUCAACAUGCUAACGUAUGUUGUCAUUCGAAAAAGACUCGCCAAAGAGUACAUAAUAGCUCACAUCUCAAUAUUUUACCUGAUGUUUCAUGUUUUGUGUUGUAUUGAAAAAACUAUCUUAAUGAAUCUUGAUUGGUUAUAGUAAGAAACAUGUUUGUGAAUGAUUUGAUUCUUCAUUCUUCAUUCUUCAUCAAUAAGGUCAUGUAGUCUUCUUCUAAUUGAAUUUUCAACACACUCUGACUGAGAUUUUGGUAAUUAUGUCGCGAUCGAGCUUAAUUUGAUAUCAACAUUUGCAUCUACGAUGUAAUUAAACUUGUUGUUGCAUCACCAUCAAGUUUUCUAAUUCUUUGCUUGAUUCCAUUAUAAAAAGAGACAAAUGAUAUAACUUCACUUACUAAUUAAGGGUACCUUGAAUUAAUAAGUUUAAUGGCAUCUCUUGGUAAGAUAUUCAAAAAUUGGAUUUAUUUGUUUUCCUCUAAAUUUUUUAUGAAGCUGUCCUCCAACUAAUAACUUGUAGAAAUGGUCCUAAUAUAGAUUAAUUUUGGCUUUUUUCAUUAAAAAAAGGAAACUAAAUAAAUCAGAAGAUGCAUGACCAAUAAAAAAAGUCUUUUAUUUAUCAUUCCACUUAUAGCAUAAAGCUACUGAUCCAUCUUAGCAACACUUAGUAAUUUUUAGCUUCAUCGACAUAGGAGACUUGAAGCUUCGACACUUUCCUCUUAGACAAGGUAGAUGAAUUACAUAUUUUUGGGAUAGCUUUUCCUUUGUAUACUUUGCAAAUUUGCUCGACCAAAUUAUCGUAAUUCUGCAUAACCCCAAUAACACAAACAAAUAACAUUUUAAAUCGGUUAAAAAUGUUAAGAAAAUAUUGAAAUAAAGAGUUACUAAAGAAGUUAAAGUUCUAUAUACGUCAUAGAGUGGUUUGCCAUUGAGUGUAACCCAUGGUACGUAUUCAUGUUUUGGCUUCAAACUCAUGGUUUGUUUUGCAUACUCAAGUAUGAGCUACAAUUACAACAAAAAACAAGUAUGAGUUAUAUCAAAAUAUAUAUAUGUGUAAAUUUUUGUAUAUAUGAUUAUACAAUAAACCUACCUUUUUAGAGAGAUCACCAUUGUAACAAUCUUUGAUGGCUUUCUCAUAUCUAGAUCUUUUAACACAUGUUUCCCACUUAUUUGUAUCCUUUUCAACGCAUUGUAUGAACUUGUAGUGCAGUUUCUACAAUUUUGGAAAUUAAAAUUAUAACACACACACAUAUAUAUAUAUAUAUAUAUACAUAAAAAAUAGUAAUUAAAUAAGUAUAUACCGGGUUAGGCCAAGUUCUUAUAGCACAAGCUUCAAGAGCGUUUAGUUUGCAUUCCUCUUCACCAUGCUACACAAAAGAAAUAAAAACAAGAUUCCCAAGUUUAAGUAAAAACAUUAUACAAGUGAUCUAAUCAUAUAUAAAUAGGAAAAGAUUAGUGAAAAAUUAUGAACCUGGCAAGUUAUAGUCAGAUUUGUGGAGACAUGAGCGUUACCAAAUGGAAAAAGCUUGAGAUCGGUGAUAGUGUAGAGAUCGGUGUCAAAGAUUUUACCAAGAUCAUUAACGAUGAAGUUUUGACAAUAGGGACAAAGUGAUUCGUAGUAAAGAUUAAGCUUCACUUUGUCAUCAGAUUCUUCAGCCGCGACGAGGUUGUUUGAGAAUGUGAACAUGAAGAGACAAGCUAAGAACAGAACAAACUUGGUUGAAGAAGAAGAAACCAUUUCUUAAGACUUGGUUAAAAGUAUUGUUAUUGAAGAGUUUGAGUUUAGUGCUUAAUGACUCUUGUGUUAAGAUAUAUAGAUAUAUUUUUUUACCUUUUUACCGUCUAGUAAUAUUAUUUUUUAACUUGAGAUCUCUUUUUUUGACCUUUGUAUCCAUGGUAACUUUGGUACCAAUCUACUCAUUUCCAGAGUGAGUUAGUAGUGUAUAAUAGACUAAUUAAUUAGUGUAUAACAUAUUAUAUAUUGAAUAUAUUAGUUUAUAAGAUUCUUUUAGUUUUAAUUUUUUUUUUAUCAACGUUUAUAAAAUGUUUACUAAAUGUAUAAAAAUAUAAUCACACCAGCUGUACAAGUUUCCUACUUUUGACGACCUGUCUGAAUAGGUCUUAGAUGCGUCUGUCUAAUUACUAAUACUUUAUAUAGUUUUGGGAAUCCCAAUCAUUUUAAUGUCAGUAAGCUAAAGUAGAUGUCUAGUUAGAAAAAGUUAGAACCAAAUAGAGAGGUCUAGGUCUAGUUGUAUACUACAUUAUUUAUGGCCACUAAACUAAAGUACUUUGAAUAUUAACAACAACAAAGAUAUUAACACAAUAGUACAACGUUCCAGUUAAUAAUAUAAUUAGAGAAUCAUUGAUCAAAUACAUUAGAGAGCAAAUUAGUCAUCUUUCAACUAUUUGGUACGGUUUCGGAUAUAUCUAUUAAAUUCCAAGUAUUUUAAAUAGAGAAGCUCAAAAUCCAUUCGAUUAUUUCAGAUAUUUUUUCAGGUUUGAUUUGGUUUAUGUUAUUUUUUGUUCGGUUUCGCUUAUUCGAUAUAGUGAUUUUUAUUUUAAAUCGAUUAAAAAUCUAACAAAACUUGAUUAAAAUUUUAAAAUAUGUCUAAAACUUCUAAAUAUUUUGGUUAUUUCAAAUAUUAAUUAUUUUAGUCCAAAAAAAUUUGAUUUUUACGGAUUUAUAAUUGAGAUUUUGGUUACCGGAUUAUAUCAAAAUCUAAAUAUAAUUAAUAUUUUUGAUAUAUAACUAUGCGUUGGUAUCUAUUUGAUUCUCGGUCCGUAUCGGUUGUGUUCUGGUUCUUUUGGUUUUCAAGUUUGAUUUCUAAUUAGUUAUUACAUUGGUAUUGGUUCGGUUCAGUUCUUAAUUAUCGGUUUGGUUUUAGUUUGGUACUUUAGAUUAGGUUGUUUUGUCUUGGAGGACAAGAGCUGCAAAAUCAUAUUAGGUAAUAUUAUUAUUUUCUAUUCAAAUGCGUGUCGGUGAAAUUUUGUUUUUAUGGACUGUGAUACACUAAUAUAUUUUUUUAAAUAAUACUUUAAACUCAAGUUGCACUGUUUUUGCUGGCAAUAAUUUAGUGGACCUGUACUACAUGUUAUCUAGCACCACAUUAAUACUAAUAGCACAAAUCUAGGCAACUACGUCUAGUUGAAUGAGAGAGAGAGAGAGUUUUGUUAGAGAGACAAUGGCUAGAUCAACGGUGGUCAUUGCGGCGGCUGUACUAGCUUUUCUUGCGGUGGUUCCGGUACCGGAAGUGACGGCAAAGAAAUACUUAGUCGGUGACAAAAACUUCUGGAACCCAAACAUUAACUAUGCCACAUGGGUUCAAGGCAAACAUUUCUACCUCGGAGACUGGCUUUGUACGUUCUCUCUUCUUUCUCAGAUCUGUAAUAGUUUCAAGAUCUUGUAAUAGUUUCAAGAUCUGGUUAGAACAUACGACAACUUAUGUGUUUUUGUUAUUAUUGGUGUCUUUGUGUUUCAGAUUUCGUGUUCUAUAGAGAUCAACACAACAUUCUUGAAGUGAGCAAGAGUGACUAUGAUAGAUGUAUCUCAAACCAUCCACUAAGAAACUAUACACGUGGAGCUGGGAGAGACAUUGUGCCUCUCAAUGAGACCAGAGCUUAUUAUCUACUUGAUGGAAGAGGUGGUUGCUUUCAUGGCAUGAAGCUAAGUGUUACUGUUGAAGGUCCUCCUCCUCCUUCUCCUCCUCCUCCUCCAGCAUCAAUGUAAAACUAUACUAUGUAUUUGUCUCUAAGCCUUGUUUUUUGGAUUACAAAACCUUGAUUUGGUAUUAAGACAACUUGUUGUAAUGCUAUGUUACGUUUCCCGAUAUGAUAAUUAAAAUUUUAUUAUAAUAUUUUUAGUUCGCUUCAUGAACCAACUACAAAUGUUGUCGGUGGCUAAUUUUAAUUACUCAAAAAAAAUGAACUUGGGAAUGCUAACGAACUGGAUAGAGAAGUAGACCAAGAGAGUGGUUAGUAAAUGAUCUUUUCGGUUUAACUUAAUAAGAUGCAAUAGAAUUAGUGGUUUUGGACUUUUGGUUAAACCGGGGUGUUCGGGUCAAGUUGUUCGGUUUAAAGAAAAUUCGGGAUUUUAAAAAAAUUCAACCAAAUACAUAUCUGAAAUAAAAUUUGGUUCCGGUCGGUUCUGAUGGCGGUUUGUUCGGGUCGGUUAUUGACUAAAUUUUAUGUUCCGAAAUUGAAUAUAUAGUUGUUGUAAUGCUAUGUUACGUUUUCCAAUGUUGUAAUACUAUGUUACAUUUACCAAUAUUAUAACUAAAAUUUUAUUACAAUACUUUAGUUCCCUUCAUGAACCAACUACAAAGGUUGUCGGUGGCUGACUUAAUUUCUCAGACCGGAUCGAGAAGUAAACAAAGAGAGAGUGCUUACUUAGUAAAUGAUAUUAUCGGUCUAACCUAAUAAUCCAAAGACAAGUAAUUAUUACUAAGAUGCAAUAAAAUUAGUCGUCAGCUCGUCAUGGGCGUUCGGCUAAACCGGGUUGUUCAAGUCGGGUUGUUCGGUUUAAGAAAACUUCGGUUUUCUAAAAAUUUAACCAAAUAGACCCGUAAUAAAAUUUGGUUUGGGUCGGUUGGGAUGUUGGUUUGUUCGGGUCGAUUAUUGACUAAAAUUUUAUGUUCCGAUAUUGAAUAAAUAGUUGUUGGUUCUGGUUUGAUGACAUCGAUUUAGCAUUCAUAUUAGUUAGAUAUGGUCUUAAAGUUAAUAUCAGGCUUUACUAAUUCCGAAGGUUCAUGAACAUGUAAAAAAAUUCUAGAAAAUAGCUCUUUAUUUAAUUAUUUUUUCCACUGACAUAAAGCUUAGUAGCUUUGGUAAUUAAUUGAUGAUCAUAGCAUCAUUGACAUAAGAGAACUGAAGCUCCGACGUUGUCUUCACAGUCUCAGACAAAACACUACCGGAACUACAUUCUUUUGGAAGUGGAGCUUUUCCUUUGUACAAUUUGCAGACUUGAGCCACCCAAUCAUUUAGCUUCUAAAUUCCCAAAUAAGCAAAUAAUAUUAACACAUAUAUCACAAAAAGACAAGUUUUAAAAAUUGGUUAUAAAAAAGUGUAUAAAGAGUAACCUCAUAGAGUGGUUUGCCAUUGAGAGUAACCCAUGGUACGAAUUCAUGUUUUGGCUUCAAACUCAUGGUUUGUUUUGCGUUCUCAAGUAUGAGCUGUGGUUAUAACAACAAACAAACAACAAUAAGUUAUAUUAUAAGGUUUGGUAAUUAUGUUUUUUUAAAAAAUUAUUAGAAUUAUUAUUGCAAACCUUUUUAGAUAAAUCACUGUUGUAACAAUCAUUCAUGACUUCUUUCUGAUCAUCUCCAAAGCCUUGAAAACAAUUUUGUUCGUAGUUUUUCGUAUCGUUUUCGAUGCAUCGUAUGAACUUGUAUUGCGAUUUCUGCGAUUUCGAUCCGAAACCAUCACGUUUUUUUCAUAGAAAAACUAAAAAUAUGUUUGUAUAAAUUCACAAAAAAAAAAAAAAAAAAAUGCAUACCGGGUUAGUCAAAAUCUUAAUACCGCAAGCUUCAAAUGCAUUAAGUUUGCAUUCCUCUUCACCAUGCUUCACAAAAACAACAACAAGUUUAGAAACAUAUACGUACAAGUAGUGUUAAGUAGUGACACAACACAAGAAGGGUUUAGAGAUUGAAAUGAACCUGGCAAAUGACGGUCUUAUUAUCGGAGAUUUCGGCGUUACCAAAUGGAACAAGCUUCACAUCAGUGAUCGUGAAGAGAUCAGAGUCAAAGACUUUGACAAGUUCAUCUACGAUGAACAUCUGACAACCGGGACAAAGUGAUUCAUAGUAAAGAUUGAGCUGAACUUUGUCGGAUUGUCCAGUGACAAGGUUGUCUGAGAAUGAGAACAGAACAAAGCAAGCUAAGAAGACAAGCUUAGUUAUAGAGGAAGGAGAAACCAUUGUUGAAAAUAUUUGUAAUGUACUAAAGAGUGAGUUAGUGAGUUGAGUGUUGUUUCAUGACUACGGCUUUUAUAGACAAAGAUAUUUAUAUUUUUUUUUUACCAUUUAGGUGGUUUUUUACUUUGGUAAUAUUUUUUAAUUUGUACGGUUGCGCAUGCAAGUCUAAAAAUUUUAAGGGUCAUAAUUUAUUCAUCAUUUAUUAAAUCAAAAUUGAUAUAAUUUUGUAAAGGUUCAAAAUCAGUAAAAACAUAGAAGCAAGCUAAGAAGACAAAGCAAGCUAAAAAGACAAAAUUGAUAGAUUAGUAUUUUUGCAAGGUUUUUGUACCACUUUUAAUGGCCUUCACAUAUAUUGCAAAAACAUUUUAAUUUAUUUAUUAUAAAAAAUUAUGUUGGAGGGAAACAUUGAGCCGAGAUUAUUAUGUUGAUACAAAAUCAACUUCUUUACCACUAUACUACUUCAAUAUAUUAGUAUUAUCAUGUAAACAUAUCGCAUAUAUAUAUAUUUGAAAACGGUUAAUAUUGUUAUGCAAUAUACAUAAUAGAAGCAAUUAGCAAUCAAAUGUUGUUUUAAAAAAAAAAUUAACAUUUAUACAUGAGUUAUAUGACAUGACGAAUUUGAAUUGAUAUUAUUAAAAUAUCGUACUUCAAAACGGGUUAAUACUUCAUUAUAUUAUUUUUAACAACACCAAUAUAAGAUAUAUCGAAUUAAACUGAUUUAAUUAAGUUUAAUAUUAUGCAAUCUUAAUAAUUUUAAAAAUAAUUCUAGCAUAAUAGAAAAUUCUGAAUUAAAAAUAAAUAAAUAAAAAUUUACUCUUCGGUGUACAGUGGAUUAAAAUCUAGUUAUUGGUAAUAUUGUAGUUCGUAACUACGAGAUAAUGUUUGCUGAUUUGUUUUACAAAAUAGCAUAAAUUUUGCCUUAAGUGCGAAAUAUAGUGUCACUUAAAAAAAACCAUGAAAUUAUGAAGAAAAUUCUCACACCAAUUUAAUCCAUUCGAAGGUAUGUUGUAUAAACAAAAUCUUCUAUACUCAUUUUUUCGUUGGAAAUUUGAGUAAUUUUUUUUAACCAUAUCUCUAGUGAAUUUAUUCAAUAUACAACGAGACUCCCAUCACAUAUUUUCUAUUAUAUGUACACAACACAUGGUUGAUAUCAUAAUAAAGAGUCGAUUGCAUUGGUUUAGUGGAGUCAUAAUGAACAUUUAAACCGUUUAAUCUAACACACACUUAACUCACAUAUAUAAGCUUAUUUGGUUACUUUUAUUGCUUACUAAUCUAGAUCCGUCAUUACAAGUUAACUCAAAAUGCAAAUGUAGUGACGACAUUUCUAGAGUGACUACUCUAGCUAGUCACAAUUGUGUUAGGUAAAGACAAAAUUCUUCACCUAGUUUAUAAAAUAUGGCAGUGAAUCAUAAUUCUUAUUCGACAAAAUGGUAUAUAUAGCAUUGUAAUAAAGUGAUCUUGAGGAUAGUUAGAAGCUAGUCGUGCUUCUAUACCUAACUAGCUAAGUUAGCUAGAUCUUGAUGCAUGCAUAUUUCACAAAUUGCAAAAUUAUAUUUACACUUUAAUAGUUUAUGGAAAACAAUUAAUGACAAUAUGCGCAAGUGGGUGUUUAUUUUUUUCCUCUUUGUAUAAUAUCACCAAAACUAAGAUUGAAUCAAUUCAAUUUCUCUUAUAAAUUAUUAGUUUGCUUUGCUAAUUUUAAGUUCAUAUACUAAAUUUAGGUAGCAAACUAAAUUCUCAAAAUUGAGAUCAAUAAAAGACGAAUGAUCGAUUAGUUCUCACAAGCAUUUUCCAACGGUUGGAUUUAGCCAACAUACUAGAGAACAUAUUUGACUACUUAUAUUUUUAAAAUAAAUGAAUUAAAAAGUUUGUCGAUGGAGAAAUUAGCUAGCCGUUGAAAAAUAUGUAAGCAUUAAAAAUAUAGUUUUGUAAGUUUGUGUAUCUCUCAUUGUAUUAUGUCGAGAACUAAAACAUGAGUGGUGUUGUAUAAAUCUCUGUCUUGUUUCGAAUAUGAAGGUCCUAUUUGAUCCAACACUCUAGUAAUUAAGAUAAUUAUAACUUGAGCUAUGAUGAAAUAUAAUUAGCCAACUUGUGAAGAUAAACAUGAUUGAUAUUAGCAUAAAGAUAAUUACUAUGGAAGAAGCAAAUGUGGAUGUAGUAACCAUGAAGAAGUAUGAAAAAUAUCAGAAUAAGAGAAUGACUUAAUUACUCGAGUAGCUCAUAAAAGUAUAUUAAUGACUCAAAUAGCAAAUCCAAAUCUAUUAACUAGAAUAACACAUAAACGGAUAAGAGUUACAAAAAAAUACCAUUCACACUUAUUAAAAAUCUGUGUUUAUUAUCUUUGUACCACUUUGCUUUUUUAAAAAGGAGAGUUAUUCUAAUAGCUUAAUUAGGGGUGUCAAAAUUGAUAACCCACUCAACUCAACUCAUUACCUAAUGAGUUUAAAGUUAAAUGAGUAAUGAGUUGACUCAACUCAUUUGUUUAAAUGAUUUGAGUCAACCCAUAAACUCAUUUAAUCUCAUGGGUUUAGUGGUUAAAUGUGACUCAAUAAUGAUAAUAGUUAAUUAAUCAACUAUUUUUAUAAAUAAAUAAUUAUGAUCAUAAUAUAUCAUCAUUAUAUAUUUUCAUACCAUCAUUAUCAAUCAUCAUACCAUCAUCACCAUCAUGUGUUUUUGGCGGGAAAAUUGCAAAUUUACGUUUUUGGCAGAAAAAUUACGAAUUUACGUUUUUGGCGGGAAAAUUGUGAAUUUACGUUUUUGGCGUGAAAAUUACGGGUUUACGUUUUUGGCGGGAAAAUUACGGGUUUACGUAUUUGGCGGGAAAAUUGUGAGUUUACGUUUUUGGCGGAAAAAUUGCGAGUUUAUGUUUUUGGAUGGAAAAUUACGGGUUUACAUUUUUGACGGGAAAAUUGCAAAUUUACGUUUUUCGCGGGAAAGUUGUGAAUUUACAUUUUUGGCGGGAAAAUUGUGAGUUUACGUUUUUAGCGGGAAAAUUACGGGUUUAACAUUUUUGGCGGGAAAUUGGGAAUUUACGGUUUUGGUGGGAAAUUUUUGAAUUUACGAUUUUAGCUUGAAAGUUGAGAAUUUACGUUUUUGGGGGGGGGGGGAAUUGUGUUUUUAUAAUUUUUGCUAAGAUUAUAGGGUAAAAAAAUUUCAACUCAUUAGAGUUCAUGGGUUGAGUUGAGUUGAGUCAACCCAUGAACCUUGACCCAUUUUGACACCCCUAAGCUUAAUAUACAGUAAUAUUUACAAAAAGUUACUAAAAUGGUAGACUAAGGUUAUACAAUAUAUUAAUUAUUUAUAGAAAAUGUAAUUGCAUUGCUAUAUAAACAAAUAAACCGUCUUAUAAUUUUCACAAAAAAAAUAAUUUAUUGAAAAAUACCACUAUUUUCUAUUAGUAAAAGUUUUUCUUUUUUUCUUUGUGUUAAAAAUAUUAUAAUUUCUUAUGAGAUUGUCUCAUUUUGAUAAAGUAAACUACACAUUAAACUAUAUAGGCUGUCUUUUAUUUUCUAUUAUUUUAUAGGCAUAUUUUGUUAUCAGGUUAAGCUUUUCUAAGAAACUAUAUGUUUAUAUAACUCAUAACAUUUUUUUUGGUGAACUGACGGGAGAUAGUGCCCUCCCUAUGUUUUAUUAGAAAAAUUAAAAGUUUAAACGUUUCGUGGCUGAGGUGGACCAACAAUAUCCUCAUUUAAAAUCGACGCCAAAUGAGGCGGUACAAAAUUCAAAUAAUAAAAACCUAAAGGCAAGGAAAACGCAUAGUUAACUAACCCGUCAGCAAGACGGUUAGCUUCCCUAUACACAUGCGAGAUACGGACUAUCCAGUCCCUAGUAAAAAAGCCAUGGCACAGACGUACCAGGAAAGACAGCGGAUGAGUAUCACAAAUCCCUGUCGUAAGAAAACUCACAACCAUCUCUGAAUCCACUUCGAACUCCAACCGUGUUACCCGCUUCUCCCAAGCAAGAUGAAGACCAUAGAACACUCCCCACAAUUCCGCUAAGGGAGCAGUGCACUGUCCAAUAUUGCAAGCAAAUCCCCCAAGCCAAUCGCCUUGAUCGUUCCGUAACACACCACCCGCCAUUGCAACACCCGGGUUCCCUUUUGAUCCUCCAUCUGUAUUGAGUUUCAUCCACCCAUCUGCCGGGGUUACCCAUUUGAUCAUUUCAUCCACCCAACCCGGUUUCAAGCUUAUAGUACUCCGGCUAGCCAUGGUCACUUCCCUCGCUAGAUCUUUAAUAACUCGGAUUCGGUCUCUACAAAGCUUUGUCCCACCGAACACGUUCUCGCACCGCCAUUCCCACUCCCACCAACAAGCAAUGGCAAAGACUGUUGCCCAAGGGAUCCCAAAGACAAGAGUUUUAACUGCCAAAUUUUCAUACAUCCAUUCGAAUAAAGACUGAGCAAAAAAGACCUGUCUUCCGCUCCUAGGAACCAGCCGAAUCCAUAUUCCCGCCAUGGCUGGACAAUCCCGGAGAACAUGAAGGAUCGUUUCAACACCACCAUGAAAAAUAGAGCAAACCCUGGAGUCGCUAACAUGUCUUCGAAGUCUCUCGCUGUUAGUCAUAAUAACCUUUCGAGAGACUAGCCAUAAGAACACACGAACCCUCUCCGGCGCCUUAACUUGCCAUAUACGCUUGUAAAAACCCUCCAUGUUAGGCUUAAACAUGCGAUUCCGAGUGAUACAAUAAUACGCCGCCUUAACACUGAAUUUCCCGUCUGUUGUACUUCCCCAAGAGAUCCUGUCUUUAGCCCCAGUCACGCUAUCCACCACAAUCGACAUCAACUCAAGUCUUAGGGUUUCCGAGACAUAUGGCUCAAAGCGAUUAAAAUCCCAUCCGCUCCCAACAGUCCACAUAUCUCGGACAGUUAAUUGGGCCAAAGUUUCCGGAAGAUUUUGCAGGCCCAACUCUUGAAGAGAAGCCGAACCUAACCAUCGAUCUGUCCAAAAAUUUAUCAUCCGACCAUCACCAACAACCCAACGGUACUCUCCCAAAAUAACAUCUCUGAUCCCGCAAACAACACCCCGCCAUAACACAGACCAAUUACUCUUCCCCCUCAUCCAAUUCGGAUCGUGAAUGCUUCCCACUGCAUACUUCCCUCGCACCACACGGGCCCAAAGACUAAAUUGAUCAUUCAGCACACGCCAUCCGACCUUAGAUAUCAAGGCUAUAUUCAUAUCACCAGCUUUUCGCAACCCCAAACCUCCAUCACUCUUGGGACGGCAAACACGAUCCCAAGCAACUAAAUACUGAUUUCUCUUCUCCGUAGUACUGCCCCACAAAAAGUUUCGUGACACGCUAUCAAGUUUUUGUAUUAUAGAAGCCGGUAACUUGAUAGAGCUCAUAGUAUGAACCGGUAUUGAAGCCAAAACAGACUUAGUUAAAGUAAUAUGGCCAGCCAAACUAAGCAUCUUCCCUUUCCCACCUGCCAACCGAGCAGAAACCCUUUCCAAAACAUCCCCAAAGGUGUCCUUGUUGAUCCUCUUAUGCAACACCGGCAUCCCCAAAUAUUUGCCCAAGUCAUGAGUGGCCUUGAUACCACUCUCAUCGCUAAUCAGCUUAGCUAGAUCUCUUGACACAUUAUUAGAGAAAAAUAUUUUAGAUUUCUCUAAACUCACCUUUUGACCUGAAGCCACAAAACCUCUCCAAAACUCCCCGGAUUACACGAAUUUGAGAGACCGAGGCUUCAGCAAAUAAGAUUAAGUCAUCGGCAAAAAAAAUGUGAGAGAGCUUAGGUCCUCCCCUAGAUAACGUGAUUGGUUUCCAACGUUUUUCACCAACAGCUUUCUCAAUAAGAUGGCAUAGGCGCUCCAUACAAAGGACAAAGAGGUACGGGGAUAACGAGUCUCCCUGCCGUAAGCCUCUCAAAGGCUUAAAGUGAAUCCGUCCUUUCCCCGUUCCAAAGAACGCUCAGAGACGGUCCCGCAACACAUUGCAUAAUGACCCUUACCCACAACUCUGAUAAACCCGCAUCAUGUAACGUCUCCUCCAAGAAAUCCCAGCGAAUUCUAUCGUAAGCUUUCUCUAAAUCAAGUUUCAAUAGCAUCCAACCUUUCCUUCCUUUCUUUCUCCGCAUAGAAUGCACCGCUUCUUGGACUAUAACAAUGUUGUCGAUACUCAAACGACCCGGUAUGAAACUAGUUUGGGUGGGCCCAAUCAACUUCAUCAUAACUGGCUUCAACCUCCCCACCAUUGUCUUAGUAAUGAUCUUAAAUAAAACAUUACAUAAGCUUAUAGGUCGAAAUUGGGUUAUUCUUUCAGGAACAGCUACCUUGGGAAUCAAGACAACAAGAGCAUCGUUUGUCUCUGGUGGCAGCUCACCGGACUCAAAGAACGCCAAGGCAAAACGGACCACCGAUUCCCCGACUACAUCCCAACAUUGUUGGUAAAACACCGGCUGAAAACCGUCUGGUCCCGGAGCUUUUAAAAUACCCAUACUCCACAAUGCUUGUUCAAUUUCUGAAGCAGAAAAAGGUUUAUUAAUAUUAACUUGAUCCGCUGUUGAUAUACGCUCAAAACCACCCGUUGGUAAGACCUCAUUUGAAGUAGUCACAUCCUCAAGAGAAUAGAGCUUCUUAAAGUAAUCAACCGCUAACUUCUCAAGCUCCUCUUGAUUUGAUAACCAAAGACCCUCAUCAUUCUUAAGCAUUUAAAUACGAUUCCGCCGUCUUCUAAUAACCGUUGAAGUGUGAAAAAACUUAGUAUUUCUGUCACCAUGAACCACCCACUUUUCCCUAGACUUCUGAAGCCAUAACAUCUCCUCUUGCUCUAACACAACAUCAAGAUGCUGAAUCAACACUCUCUCUUGCUCCAAGAGAGCAUCGGUUUGUUCCUGCUCAAUGCAUCGUUGAAGCUCAGAAAUCUCACUUAAAAGCUCCUCUUUAUGUUUGUGAAUAUUCCCAAACACUUCCCGGUUCCACUUUCUCAAAACUCUCUGCAUGUGAAAUAGAGCCUCUUGCGUACGCAUAUCACGAUUCCAAGAAGGUAGGACUAAAUCUUUAAAACCCGUAUGUUGCAACCAGGCCGCUUCAAACCGAAAUGGUCGCCGGCGUGCAUCACCACCAACAAGCGGUGAGAGCUUAAGGUACAGGGGCGUAUGAUCAGACGACAAAAAUGGGAGGUGUGUGACGGAGGCCUCCUGCCAUUUAAUCCGAGACUCGGCACAGCACAACACCCGGUCCAGUCUUUUAGCCACAAAGUUACGAGCUACCUUACCGCGUUUCCAAGUGAAUUGAUUUCCUUUAAAGCCCAAAUCAAUCAAGGACAUUUCACUAAUCCAAUCUCCAAAAGAUAAGGAGUCUUGGGAUAAACCUCCACUCCCUCCUGUCCUCUCGUCAAUCCGAACGAUUGUAUUGAAAUCACCUCCAAUAACAAGUGGUCCAGUGAGACCACCAAUAACCGCACUUACCUGCGUCCACAAACCACUCCGUCGGCUAACCGAUGGGGCAGCAUACACAAUAAUUACGUUCAAAGACUCCUCACCUUGAGUUACCUUUGCACAAAUAUACUGGUCCGAGGAGGAGAGAAUCUCCACAACACCCAAAUCAGACCUCCACAAUUACCAUAGGCCACCGCUUUGCCCUACUGCAUCCACACGAAAAGUAUAUAACUCAUAACAUUAUGUAUACAUCGGUUUUCUAGUUUCUUAGGAUUAUUAAAUUUAUCUUUAACUUUUUUUUUUCUCUUUCAAACUUCAACAAAAUUAUCAUCAAACAAAACAUGGGCAAACUUGUUGUCAUUUUAAAUGAUACUAGGGAUGGACCCGCACAUACGUGCGGGAUUAUUUUUGCAAAACUAUGAUUUUUCAUAUAGAUACGAUUUGGUAAAAGUUUGUUACAUAUGUUUAUUUGAAAUACUAUACAUAGGCAUACAGUUGUAAAAUAUAGAUAUUCUUUACUUAAUAUAAUUUUAAAAUAAUUUAAAUGAAAAUGUUAAAUGAUAUUACGUGUUUAUUUUUUAAACUAAUCAAAACAUUUUAACUGUUUGCUUAGAGAUGUUAAAUCGGAUUUGGAUUUGGCUUUAGUUUGAAUUAUUUUACGUAUAGUUUGGAAUGAGCAAUCCGUCCCGUCCCUUUCUGUCUUGUCCCGACCCGUCCCUUCCUGUCUCAUCUCAACCCGUCCCGUCCCGACCCGUCUCGUCCCGUCCCGUUCGGACCCGUCAUGUCCGUAUCGUCCUCUAUCCUUGUGCAUGGGCGAGUUUGUGUGCCCAAGGAUGAGGAGUUGAGACGGGAGAUCUUGAGUGAGGCUCAUGCGAGUAGGUUCUCUAUUCAUCCAGGAGCGACCAAGAUGUACCGAGAUCUGAAGCGGUAUUAUCAUUGGGUCGGGAUGAAGAGAGAUGUAGCUAAAUGGGUCUCUGAGUGCGAUGUAUGUCAGCUAGUGAAGGCUGAGCAUCAGGUGCCGAGCGGAUUAUUGCAGAGUCUCCCUAUUCCAGAGUAGAAAUGGGACAUGAUCACGAUGGAUUUCGUGGUGGGGUUGCCAGUGUCUCGGUUCAAGGAUGCCAUUUGGGUCAUUGUGGACCGUUUGACUAAGUCUGCACAUUUCUUGGCUAUCAAGAAAACCGAUGGAGCGGCAGUGCUAGCUAAGAAGUAUGUGCAGGAGAUUGUGAGACUUCAUGGAGUACCGGCCAGUAUUGUGUCAGACCGGGAUUCGAAGUUCACUUCGGCGUUCUGGAAGGCUUUCCAGAAGGAGAUGUGUACUAAGGUGCAUUUGAGCACGGCUUACCACCCUCAGACAGACGGGCAGUCUGAGCGGACCAUUCAGACACUCGAGGAUCUGUUGAGGAUGUGUGUGUUGGACUGGGGUGGUCAGUGGGCUGAUCACCAGGCGAGUAUUAGAAUGGCUCCUUAUGAGGCGUUGUAUGGGAGGCCAUGUCGGACACCUCUAUGCUGGACUCAAGUGGGGGAGAGGAGCAAUUAUGGUGCGGAUUUUGUUCAGGAGACUUCAGAGAAGAUUCGGGUUCUGAAGCUGAACAUGAGAGAGGCGCAUGAUCGGCAGAAGUGUUAUGCUGAUAAGAGGCGUAAAGAGUUGGAGUUUGAGGUUGGAGAUAUGGUGUAUCUCAAGAUGGCGAUGUUGCGUGGUCCUAACAGGUCCCUUACCGAGACUAAGCUGAGUCCGAGGUUUAUGGGUCCUUUCAGGAUUAUGGAGCGGGUCGGACCGGUGGCUUAUCGGUUGGAGUUACCUGAGGUAAUGCAUGCAUUUCAUAAGGUAUUCCACGUGUCGAUGCUGAGGAAGUGUCUUCACAAGGAUGAUCAGGUGUUGGCUACGAUCCCGGCGGAUCUUCAGCCUAGCAUGACCUUGGAGGCGAGGCCAGUGAGGGUUCUCGAGAGGCGGGUAAAGGAACUUUGACGUAAGAAGAUUCCUUUGAUGAGAGUCCAGUGGGACUGUGAUGGAGUCUUGGAGGAGACGUGGGAGCCAGUGGCCAGGAUGAAGGCAAGGUUCCGGAAGUGGUUUGACAAGCAGGUCGAGGAGUAGACCGUUGGCUUGUUUUGUUUUGAGUUUUGUUUUGGUUGUAUCUCUUUUGUAUUCUCAUUUUGGUGUAAUGAUUAUGACAUUGGAGAUUAAUAAGAUGAGUAUUUCUUGGAUUUGACUUGUUGUGUCAUGUGUAAGAGAAAUAUGUGCGAGUUUCUAAAAAUAGAAAGUGUCGGGUUUGACGGUUCUAUUUUUUGAAAGUCUCGGGGUGGUGGUUAGUAUAGCAUUGCGAUGUUAUAGGUGGACCACGGGAGGUAUAUCUGAUCGAGAGAUAUGCUCGAGGGCGUUUAGACUUAUUUGCUCGGAUAUGAUGUGAUGGCCUCGGAUGACGAUUCGAGUGCACGCUUGAGGGUGACGACCCGAGAGCGAGCGUGUGACUUCCCGGAUACCGUAGCUAGAAGGCGGGUGGCCUAAUAGUGAGCCGGUAUGACUUGAGGGUUGCGACCUGAGAGCGGGGGAAGUGGUGAGGCUUCCUGGAUACCGUAGUCUAAGGCUGAGGCCUGAAGACGAGCCGGUAUGAUCCACGGGUUGCGACCUAUGGACGGGGGAGGUGGGUGUGUAUGAGCAAAUAGGGUCUCGAACGUGAGUAUAUUGAUUAGAUAGGGGCCUCGGUGAGGUCAGUUGUGUACUGACGGUUGUGUUGGAGGAUUCGGGGACGAAUCCUAGUUAGUGGGGGAGAAUUGUAACGCCCGUGUCUGGAAAUCCGGGUGGUGUCGAUCGACACUGUGGUUGGGUGUCGAUCGACACCAGUAAUUUUGGUUCGACGGUUUAAGUUUUAAAUCGUCGGUUCAAUGGAGGCUUGGUUUGGGUUGGUUAACCCUAGGUCGUGUUUAAAAGAGGGAAGGUCGUGUGUUGUCUCUUCCCAGCCGCUUUUUAACACUUCCAGAGAUAGAAAAAAAGUUCUAGAGCUUCUGAGGGUUUUUGUGAGUCUUUGGUGGUGCUUGGUGGUAUUCGUGGUGGUUUAAGGCUAGUAGAGGCUAGAUCCGUGUUGUGUGGUGUUAGAAGAGGCAGAUCCUUCCUUGUUCUUCCUUGUUUUCGUUGCUAUUCUUCUUGUUUAAAGAGGUGAGUGCAUGACCAGGCUUAUCUAAGCAUGUUUGAUCAUUGUUUUAGGGUCUUGAUGAUUGUUUGAUUGAUUUCCUUUGCUUGUUUGGCUGUUUAUUUGAUGAUUGAUGCCUGUGGAAUCCUUUGGAGACUCGUUCUUAUCGUGGUGGUCAUUUGGAGAAGAGAUCCAGUGAGAAACGCAGUUGGAGCGACUGCAGAGAGUCGGUGUCGAUCGACACCAAGGGUGGGUGUCGCUCGACACCAACGUUUCGUCGCGCGAGGAUAACUGCGUCUUACGAUUGGAGUGUCGAGACCGGUGUCAUCCGCGAGGGUCGACAGCGAGUGUCGAUCGACACCAGUGGUGGGUGUCGAUCGACACCGAUAGUCAGAAGCGAUUCUGGUCUAUCUUUUAUUGGCUGUUUGGUUCUUUUCCUUGGAUAAUGAUUGAAUGUGCUUGUGUGUAUAGCCAGUGGUGGUAUGAUUGUCUCACUAAGUAUUUAUGAAAUACUUAUGCAUCUCUUUCGUUGAUGCAGGUAAAAGCAAAGUGUGAUCCGUGGAAUCAUGGCGAGGAGAGGAGGAUGAUCUAGGCGCUCAUUGGUGUUUAGAUGAUUGUAGGAUUUGUUAGGAUGCUAGAAUGGAAUUUAGAAGCAUGUUAGGAUGAAUUCGUUUCUGGAAUAAUGAUAGUUGAACUUGUUGGAUUAAUGGAAUUGUUUGAUUGGAUUUUUGUUUAAGUCUUCCGCUGGUUACGUUGAAUUGGUUGUGUUAGUAAGAUUGUCUGGUUUGCUGUAAAUGGGUUAAUCCGGAUUGUUUGCAUGCUUAAAAGAAAAAAAAAA
rnacentral:lncRNA from 1 species